AGAGUUGAUCCUGGCUCAGGAUGAACGCUGGCGGCGUGCCUAACACAUGCAAGUCGAGCGGAGAUAAUGGGAGAUUCUUCGGAUGAUCUUAUUAUCUAGCGGCGGAUGGGUGAGUAACACGUGGGUAACCUGCCCUGCACAGGGGGGAUAACAGCUGGAAACGGCUGUUAAUACCGCAUAUGCACACGCUGCCGCAUGGCAGGGGGUGGAAAGAUUUAUCGGUGCAGGAUGGGCCCGCGUCGGAUUAACUAGUUGGCAGGGUAACGGCCUACCAAGGUGAUGAUCCGUAGCCGACCUGAGAGGGUGACCGGCCACAUUGGGACUGAGACACGGCCCAAACUCCUACGGGAGGCAGCAGUGGGGGAUAUUGCACAAUGGGCGCAAGCCUGAUGCAGCGACGCCGCGUGAAGGAAGAAGUAUUUCGGUAUGUAAACUUCUAUCAGCGGGGAAGAAGAUGACGGUACCCGACUAAGAAGCCCCGGCUAACUACGUGCCAGCCGCCGC
rnacentral:rRNA from 1 species